AGCGAACGCUGGCGGCAGGCCUAACACAUGCAAGUCGAACGAACCUUUCGGGGUUAGUGGCGGAUGGGUGAGUCACACGAGGGGACGUUCCCUCAGGGUCGGUCUAACUCAGGGAAACGUGUGCUAAUACCGAACGUGUGCUACGGGGGCAUGAUUUAUCGCCUUUAGAGCGGCCAGCGUCUGAUUAGCUAGUUGGUUGAGGUAAUGGCUCACCAAGGCGACGAUCAGUAGCUGGUCUGAGAGGAUGAUCAGCCACAUUGGGACUGAGACACGGACCAAACUCCUGGGGGAGGCAGCAGUGGGGAAUCUUGCGCAAUGGGCGAAAGCCUGACGCAGCCAGGCCGCGUGAAUGAUGAAGUUGUGAGGAUUGUAAAAUUCUUUCAACGGGGAAGAUAAUGACGGUACCCAGAGAAGAAGCCACGGCUAACUUCGUG
rnacentral:rRNA from 1 species